AGAGUUUGAUCAUGGCUCAGGAUGAACGCUAGCGGAGGCUUAACACAUGCAAGUCGAGGGGCAUCACGGGUAGCAAUACCUGGUGGCGACCGGCAGACGGGUGAGUAACGCGUAUGUAACCUACCCUGUACAGGGGGAUAACCCGGAGAAAUUCGGACUAAUAUCCCAUAAUGAUAUCUGGGGGGCAUCUUCGGAUAUUUAAAGUUCCGGCGGUACAGGAUGGGCAUGCGUAACAUUAGCUAGUUGGUAAGGUAACGGCUUACCAAGGCUUUGAUGUUUAGGGGGUCCUGAGAGGGUGGUCCCCCACACUGGUACUGAGACACGGACCAGACUCCUACGGGAGGCAGCAGUAGGGAAUAUUGGGCAAUGGGCGCAAGCCUGACCCAGCCAUGCCGCGUGCAGGAUGAAGGCCCUCUGGGUUGUAAACUGCUUUUAACCGGGAAGAAAAUGUCCGAUUCAUCGGGCACUGACGGUACCGGUGGAAUAAGCACCGGCUAACUCCGUG
rnacentral:rRNA from 1 species